UCAUUUAACGUUUAUUCAUUGAGUAUUUACAAUAUGCCACAAUCUAGGCACUGGAUUUAUAGUACUAACAAAAAUAGAGAAAAAUCUCAGUUUUGAUGUAGUUUAUAUGCUAGUGAGGGAAUACAAAGAAAAUAAGCAAGAAAAAUACAUAUACUAAGUAAUAAUUAGUAAAAAGUUAUAGUAGGAAAGGGGAUAGUUUACAGAAAAGGAAAAACUAUGGAGACAAAUAAAAAGAUGAGUGGUCGACAGGGUUUGGGGUCAGGAGGAGGGAUGAAUGGGCAGAGGAUGUUUUGAGCAAUGAAAAUACAUUGCAUGAUACCAUAAUGAUGGAUACAUGUCAUUUUACAUCUGUCCAAACCCACAGAACUGAUAAUAUCCAGAGUGAACUGUGAUGUAAACUGUGGGCUUUAAGCAAUUAUGUUUAAUCAAUGUAGGUUCAUCAACUCUAACAUGCACCACUCUGGUGGAGAUGUUGAUAAUGGGAGAGGUUGUGCAUGUGUGUAGGGGGGGGAGAGAUAUAUGGGAAAUCUCUAUGCUUUCCCCUCAAUUUUGCUAUCAACUCUAACAUGCAUCACUCUGGUGGAGAUGUUGAUAAUGGGAGAGGUUGUGCAUGUGUGUGUGUGUGGGGGAGAGAUAUAUGGGAAAUCUCUAUGCUUUCCCCUCAAUUUUGCUAUGAAUCUAAAGCUGCUCUAAAAAAAAUAAAAGUCUUAAUUGGAAAAAAAAAAAAAAGAGAGAGUUGCCAGAAGCCUGAUUCGAUCUUUAGUACAUGUAUGUAUCAGACUACUAAGGUUGCUUAGUCUGUUCAGGCUGCUAUAACAAAAGAUCACACACUGGCUUGCUCCUAAACAACAGAAAUUUCUCACAGUUCUAGAGGUUGAGAAGUCCAAGAUCAGCACCUGUGUAUGGUCAUGUUCUGGGGUAGGUCCUCUUCCUGGGUAAAAGUCAGCACCUGCUUACUAUGUCCUCCCAUAGCAGAAGGGCUGUGAACUCUGGAAGACCCCAUUCAUGAGGACUCCACUCUUGUGACCUAAUCACCUCCCAAAGGCCCCAAUAUCAUCCCAUUAGGGAUUAGAUUUAAUAUAUGGAUUUAAGGCUGGGACACAAACAUUCAGAACAUAGCAGCUGACAUCCCAAAAUACCUCCUUUGUGAACUUGGAUCGCUGUGAUUGUGAAUAAAUGUGCCAAAAUACCACAGACAAGGUGACUUAAAGAACAGAAAUGUAUUUGCUCACAGCUUAGAGGCUGGAAGACCAAGAUCAAGGUAUCAGUAGGUUUGUUUUCUUCUAAGACCUCUCUCCUUGGCUUAUAGAUGGCUACCUUCUUGCUGUGUACUCACAUGUCCUUUUCUCUGUGCAUGCACAUCUCAUGUCUCUUCCUUCUUCUAAGGACACCAGUCAGAUUAGAGCCCCACUCUUAUGACUUCUAUCUCUUUAAAAGCCCUGUCUCUGGAGCCCCCUGGCUGGCUCGGUUGAGUGUGUCUUCGGCUCAGUUCACGAUCCCAGGGCCCUGAGAUCAAUUGAGCUCUGUGUUGGGCUCCCUGCUCAGCAGGGAGUGUGCGUCUCCCUUUCCCUCUGCCUCCCCGCCCCCCACUCAUGUUCUUUCUCUCUCUCUCACAAAUAAAUAAAAUCUUCUAAAAAAAUAAAAUAGAAGCCCUAUCUCCAAAUACAGUCAUAUUGGGUUAGGGCUUUAACCAUGGAUUUUGAGGGAAAUACAAUUCAGGCCAUGAUUAUACAUAUUUGUCAUGAAACAAUAAUUCCUUGUAUCUAUAAUGAAUUCUGAUAGAUUUUGUUCUAUUUCUUUAAAAGUCAAGUCACUGAAUUGAUUUCACAGUUCCUUAAUAGGCCAGUGUGGUGGCUUUAUAAUGUGUUACCUUGGCUAGACCGCACUACAUUUCCCAGAGUUCACUUUUCUGUAAUUUCCAAAUGAGAUGGACGACAAAAGACAUUCUUGUGCAAUAUUUGGGGGGUAUAAGUGAUGUAGCAGCCACUUUGUAGCUCGCACAUGCUGCUGCUCAUCUAUUGACCACCUCACUGGCCUAAGGCAGCAUCAGGACUGUUGACUGUUUCAUGUGGAUACUUCAGCUUCUCCACCAGGUAUGUGUGAUCACUUCUAUGAUUAAGGGCCCCAGCUUCUGCAAGAAAUCCCACCAUCAAGGUCAGAAGCAAGGAGAACCAACUCCGGCUUUAGUCCAUCCUUAGGAGCUCUACUCAUGAUUGUGGGUUCUGACUUGUUUUUGCUUUGUCAUGUCUAUCUUGUUUUCCUUAUUAUCUGCUCUGUGGACUUCAAGUGCCUUCAUCAGACAUGAAGACAGCCAUACUGAAGAGACAAAUUGGCCAUUUCCCCUAACUGCAUGAGGUCAACUCUCUGUAACAAGUCCCAUUACACAUAGACACUCUCCUGGUGGUUGUCUCUAAUUAAAUGCUGUCUGAAUCAUGAAUUUGUACCAAACUGAAUCUGGAGUAUCUGCAUUAGAUUCUAUAUAAUCAGAUUAUAUUUAGACUUUAAACCAUUAAUGGGACUAUUUUAGUGGUAAAGGAGCAUUGAUAGUCCACGUAGUGAUAAUACGGUUACUCAAAUUACUACUUUUGGACACCUGUAAUCAAAUGCCUAGAGAUAGCAAGGCUCUGGGGGGGGGGGAAAUCAUGUAUAUGCUGCUCUAGAUAUUUUAGUGAACAUAAGGAGUAUAGUGGGAUUGGUUGUUUACUGCUAAUUGUGCUGGAGAACUUGGGGGAAAGAACAUGAGAAGCUCAGGAGUUUAAGUCCCAGCUCAAGGACCACAUAAGGGAUUUUACCUUUCAGGGUAUGUGGCUACCCUGAAAGAAAAUCUUAUUUCCUAAAGCUGCAGGGCUGAGAUUUAUGUAUAUCAAAUCCAAUGUUGAAUCAUUUGAUUGGCAUGAUUAUAAUGCAGAUUGAGUUCCCAAACUUACAGGGUCUCUUACUAAAGUUAGGGCAUUGAUUGGGAAUGAGAUCUUGAAAACUGGGAUGGAAAAACAUGAGCAGAUUUCAAAGUAGCUGAGUCUUCAAUGCCUAUAAAUACCUUCAAUGUAUCUGCUGAGUCUUCUUUCCAAUAGAACCAGCCCUUCCUUCCCCACCUGAGUUUAGCCUCCCUUGACCAUAGGAACCUAAUAUGGCCUUCUGUGCCACAGUUGUCUUGCAAAGAUAUUCUGAUCCUCUUCAGGACUUACCUACACUGCCGCUCCUUGCACUUGACCUAUAACCAGAUGUAAGACCCAAUAUUUGUCAAACAGUACAAAUUGUGACCCAUAAAGGGGUCUGAUACACAUCAAAAGAAAUGUACAAUUUUACAUCUUUAUAUUAACAGAAACCUGGCAAAUAGUUUGGGAUCAGAGUAGAAAGAAUAUAAAGUUGGAUUAACCUUAUAGAUUCCCUUCCCCAGUCUCCAGUUUCUCAGGGCCAGAUCUCUCAGGGAUCUUCAGGGCCACGGGCCUGCUCCAUGGCAACAGUUGCUUCUUAUGGAUUAAAGAUCCUGGGCUUAAGUUGCAUCUGAAUUAUUCCCUUUGCUGCGGCACAGGGUGGAUGUUUUCCCCUCUAAACACACAGGUGAGAAUUUCUUUCCAACAGAGGCAUAGGCAGCAAAGUGGUGUAGCAAGAGCAUGCUUGGCUCAUAACCUAGUGGUAGACUGAGUAUCUUCUGUAUGGCUGCCUCAUUUUUUCUGGCAUGCACAUUUUCUGCUUUCUCUCAUUUCUCUCUGUACAAAUUCCUCAGAAUAUUUUAGAUUUCUAGCCACGUAAAGUUGCGGCUUUCAGUUUUUGUCUCUCUACUCAAUCACCUGUGGCAUGGACCUGGGUGGUUAGAGAGAAAGUGCCAGAGCCCAACAGCUGACCUCAUAGGCAGCUGCAGCUUCCUCCAGGGAAUGCCGGUCAAUCUCUCUGGGGUCAGGGUUCACAAACACUAUGGGCCUUUUGUCCAUGGCCCAGGUCAAGGCCAUUAAGCUCCAAGAUCCCAAGGUUAGCCCUUUGAUGUACUGAUAAAAUAGCAAUUCUAAACAGACCUCAGGCUCACUGGCUAAAGGUUUUAUAUUAGAAGAGCAUUUGAGGUACUCCCUCUGGUAAUUUGGAAGGGAUCCCCUUUUCUUUUCUCAUCAUCUGGGCCUCAGGAAAUUGCACAUGUCCUCAACACCCUUGGGCAUCAGGCAUGUGUGCAAUGGCAGCAAGGGAAGUAGCAGCAGAGGAGAGGGGGAAGGCU
rnacentral:lncRNA from 1 species